GUCCACACCGUAAACGAUGAUUACUAGGUGUUGGAGGAUUGACCCCUUCAGUGCCGCAGUUAACACAAUAAGUAAUCCACCUGGGGAGUACGACCGCAAGGUUGAAACUCAAAGGAAUUGACGGGGGCCCGCACAAGCAGUGGAGUAUGUGGUUUAAUUCGACGCAACGCGAAGAACCUUACCAAGUCUUGACAUCCGUUGACCGCUGUAGAAAUACAGUUUUCCUUCGGGGCGGGUUCACAGGUGGUGCAUGGUCGUCGU
rnacentral:rRNA from 1 species